GACGAACGCUGGCGGCGUGCUUAACACAUGCAAGUCGAACGGAAAGGCCCUGCUUUUGUGGGGUGCUCGAGUGGCGAACGGGUGAGUAACACGUGAGUAACCUGCCCUUGACUUUGGGAUAACUUCAGGAAACUGGGGCUAAUACCGGAUAGGAGCUCCUGCUGCAUGGUGGGGGUUGGAAAGUUUCGGCGGUUGGGGAUGGACUCGCGGCUUAUCAGCUUGUUGGUGGGGUAGUGGCUUACCAAGGCUUUGACGGGUAGCCGGCCUGAGAGGGUGACCGGCCACAUUGGGACUGAGAUACGGCCCAGACUCCUACGGGAGGCAGCAGUGGGGAAUAUUGCACAAUGGGCGGAAGCCUGAUGCAGCAAUGCCGCGUGCGGGAUGACGGCCUUCGGGUUGUAAACCGCUUUCGCCUGUGACGAAGCGUGAGUGACGGUAAUGGGUAAAGAAGCACCGGCUAACUACGUGCCAGCAGCCGCGGUGAUACGUAGGGUGCGAGCGUUGUCCGGAUUUAUUGGGCGUAAAGGGCUCGUAGGUGGUUGAUCGCGUCGGAAGUGUAAUCUUGGGGCUUAACCCUGAGCGUGCUUUCGAUACGGGUUGACUUGAGGAAGGUAGGGGAGAAUGGAAUUCCUGGUGGAGCGGUGGAAUGCGCAGAUAUCAGGAGGAACACCAGUGGCGAAGGCGGUUCUCUGGGCCUUUCCUGACGCUGAGGAGCGAAAGCGUGGGGAGCGAACAGGCUUAGAUACCCUGGUAGUCCACGCUGUAAACGGUGGGUACUAGGUGUGGGGUCCAUUCCACGGGUUCCGUGCCGUAGCUAACGCUUUAAGUACCCCGCCUGGGGAGUACGGCCGCAAGGCUAAAACUCAAAGGAAUUGACGGGGCCCCGCACAAGCGGCGGAGCAUGCGGAUUAAUUCGAUGCAACGCGUAGAACCUUACCUGGGUUUGACAUGGAUCGGGAGUGCUCAGAGAUGGGUGUGCCUCUUUUGGGGUCGGUUCACAGGUGGUGCAUGGCUGUCGUCAGCUCGUGUCGUGAGAUGUUGGGUUAAGUCCCGCAACGAGCGCAACCCUUGUUCACUGUUGCCAGCACGUUAUGGUGGGGACUCAGUGGAGACCGCCGGGGUCAACUCGGAGGAAGGUGGGGAUGACGUCAAGUCAUCAUGCCCCUUAUGUCCAGGGCUUCACGCAUGCUACAAUGGCUGGUACAGAGAGUGGCGAGCCUGUGAGGGUGAGCGAAUCUCGGAAAGUCGGUCUCAGUUCGGAUUGGGGUCUGCAACUCGACCUCAUGAAGUCGGAGUCGCUAGUAAUCGCAGAUCAGCAACGCUGCGGUGAAUACGUUCCCGGGGCU
rnacentral:rRNA from 1 species